rnacentral:rRNA from 1 species
UUAAAACUCAAAUGAAUUGACGGGGGCCCGCACAAGCGGUGGAGCAUGUGGUUUAAUUCGAUGCAACGCGAAGAACCUUACCUGGUCUUGACAUCCACGGAAGUUUUCAGAGAUGAGAAUGUGCCUUCGGGAACCGUGAGACAGGUGCUGCAUGGCUGUCGUCAGCUCGUGUUGUGAAAUGUUGGGUUAAGUCCCGCAACGAGCGCAACCCUUAUCCUUUGUUGCCAGCGGUCCGGCCGGGAACUCAAAGGAGACUGCCAGUGAUAAACUGGAGGAAGGUGGGGAUGACGUCAAGUCAUCAUGGCCCUUACGACCAGGGCUACACACGUGCUACAAUGGCGCAUACAAAGAGAAGCGACCUCGCGAGAGCAAGCGGACCUCAUAAAGUGCGUCGUAGUCCGGAUUGGAGUCUGCAACUCGACUCCAUGAAGUCGGAAUCGCUAGUAAUCGUGGAUCAGAAUGCCACGGUGAAUACGUUCCCGGGCCUUGUACACACCGCCCGUCACACCAUGGGAGUGGGUUGCAAAAGAAGUAGGUAGCUUAACCUUCGGGAGGGCGCUUACCACUUUGUGAUUCAUGACUGGGGUGAAGUCGUAACAAGGUAACCG